AUACUUACCUGGCAGGGAAGACACCAUGAUCAGGAAGGUGGGUUUUCCAGGGCGAGGCUCACCCAUUGCACUCCGGGUGUGCUGACCCCUGCGAUUUCCCCAAAUGUGGGAAUCUUGACUGUAUAAUGUGUGGUAGCGAAGGACUGCCUUCAUGCUCUCCCCUG
rnacentral:snRNA from 1 species